AUUUUGAAUCUGGCGGUUCACUGGGACCGUCCGAAUUGUAAUCUAGAGAAGCGUCUUCCAGCCCCGUGCCGUGUACAAGUCUCCUGGAAGGGAGCAUCAUAGAGGGUGACAAUCCCGUCUUUGACACGGAUCCGUCGGUGCUUUGCGAUGCGCUCUCGACGAGUCGAGUUGUUUGGGAAUGCAGCUCAAAUAGGGUGGUAAACUCCAUCUAAAGCUAAAUACGGGCGAGAGACCGAUAGCGAACAAGUACCGUGAGGGAAAGACGAAAAGAACUUUGAAAAGAGAGUUAAACAGUACGUGAAAUCGUUGAAAGGGAAACGCUUGACGUCAGUCUCGUCGGUCGGGGAUCAACCUAGGUCACUCUGGGUGUACUUCCCGCUCGACGGGUCAGCAUCAGUUUCGAUCGUCGUACAAUGAUGAGAGCGAAUGUGCCACGCUCCGGCGUGUGUUAUAGCCUCUCCUCGCAUGCGACGGUCGGGACUGAGGAACUCGGCACCGGCCAACCCCGGUGUCUAGGAUGCUGGCAUAAUGGCCUUAAGCGACCCGUCUUGAAACACGGACCAAGGAGUCCAACAUGCCUGCGAGUGUUUGGGUGCAAAACUCGAGCGCGAAAUGAAAGUGAAAGUCGAGACCUUCGUCACUGGAGGGCAUCGAUGCCCGGAUCCAUCGUCUUCUGACGAUGACUCCGAGGUAGAGCAUGCAUGUUGGGACCCGAAAGAUGGUGAACUAUGCCUGAAUAGGGUGAAGCCAGAGGAAACUCUGGUGGAGGCUCGUAGCGAUUCUGACG
rnacentral:rRNA from 1 species